CAGACGUUCCUCCCACCCGCAGAGCUCGCCCUUCAGGCAAAGACAGGCAGGCACCAGGGAAGGGGGUCAAGAGCCAAAGAGGUGGUAAGCGUGGCACCUGCCCGAGGGCCUUCUAGAGGGAGAAGCGGCACAGAGGCAGGAGAAGGCUCGUGCGUGUGGAGGAUUUACUCCGCAGAAGCAGGAAACCAGGAAAGGUCCGGAAGGAGCGGCUGCGGCAGGUGCGGUGGGCGGGGCGGGUGCAGGUUCAGGUGCAGGGGGGCGGUCGGAAGGCCACCCCCAAGGAAGAGGGGAGCAGCCCCCAAACGCGGAGGGCCGCAACCACACCACCAAGCAGCUCUCCACGUGGAGUCCAGAGGAGGGUCUGGCUCGGGCCGGGGGGUGGGGUGGGGGUGGGGGCCUGGGUAAGCGGAAGGCAAACUAGAUUUAACGGGACGGGAAACCGAGGCAACACUUCCAGGAAAUGGAACGGUCAGAGAAACCCUGGGUUGAGGCAAAUGCAAACUGUCGUCUGGAGCGUUCUCCGGCACCUGGGGAAGGCUCGUGCUCCUGGAAGCUAAAAAACACAUCCAGAAACAAACAAGGAAUUCAGCAUCAGCUCAGAAUUCCUCAGAUCUCCUCCGGUGGAAUGUGAAAAUCCACGCUGCAUCUCACAGCUCAAGAGCCAGCAGGCCGGGGACUUGUGAGGUCACCUCCCAGAGCCACACAGAGAGCAGUCUCUCCUCUUCCUGUUCAAGGUGGAGGCCCCAAGCCUGGAACCCACUUGGACUAAACAUUCACUAAACGUUACACGGACAAGCUCUAGCACCAGGGGGAGCAGAGCCUUCCUGGUCAAGUACAGAAAAUAAGAAAGCAAUCUGAGAAUAAUACUAAAUAUGAUUCCAAGGGGGAAAACGUCCCACAAACACCACAAACAGGGACAGAAGUCCCUCGAAACAGUGCAGCAUUGAGAUGAAGGGUAAGAGGAGAAAACUCGCUCGGACGACACACAGGCGUGCGACUGCUCUCACUCCCUCUGAAACCAUCCGAUGGGAAGGUGGAGGCUGGCAACAAGACUAACCGGAGAAAAGUUAAAAGCCGGCAAACUUACUAUUGCAGAAAAUAAACAGCACCCCAGAGGCAUCUGCACAUGUCAGUAAAGUCCACCUUCGGCGUGAGGCUCACACCGAACUGUUAAGACACCGCAGCCUUUCAAGUCAAGUCUCGGGCAUAAAUACAGGCGGGCAUGACAGGACAGGAGAGGCGGUACUGGGCUCCCUAGAAGGAGCUGUGGAACGUCACACACCCGGCGUCCUGGCCCCACGGAGGAGCCACAAGCCCUGUCAUUACUUGUGCCGUCCCCUUCCUUGUGGGACUCCAGCUGCUCUAGGAGGCACCGCUGUUUGGGCGUCCGGCCUCGUGGACUGGACCAACAAUAGUGCCAAUGGCGGAAAACCGUAGCUUGCGAGGGGGCCCGGCGCUGACCCUUGGGAUUCUCUCUCUCCCUCUCUCUCUGCCCCUCCCCUGUUCUCACUUUCUCUCUC